rnacentral:rRNA from 1 species
AGUCGAGCGGAGAUGAGGUGCUUGCACCUUAUCUUAGCGGCGGACGGGUGAGUAAUGCUUAGGAAUCUGCCUAUUAGUGGGGGACAACAUUCCGAAAGGAAUGCUAAUACCGCAUACGUCCUACGGGAGAAAGCAGGGGAUCUUCGGACCUUGCGCUAAUAGAUGAGCCUAAGUCGGAUUAGCUAGUUGGUGGGGUAAAGGCCUACCAAGGCGACGAUCUGUAGCGGGUCUGAGAGGAUGAUCCGCCACACUGGGACUGAGACACGGCCCAGACUCCUACGGGGGGCAGCAGUGGGGAAUAUUGGACAAUGGGGGGAACCCUGAUCCAGCCAUGCCGCGUGUGUGAAGAAGGCCUUAUGGUUGUAAAGCACUUUAAGCGAGGAGGAGGCUACUGAGACUAAUACUCUUGGAUAGUGGACGUUACUCGCAGAAUAAGCACCGGCUAACUCUGUGCCAGCAGCCGCGGUAAUACAGAGGGUGCGAGCGUUAAUCGGAUUUACUGGGCGUAAAGCGUGCGUAGGCGGCUUUUUAAGUCGGAUGUGAAAUCCCCGAGCUUAACUUGGGAAUUGCAUUCGAUACUGGGAAGCUAGAGUAUGGGAGAGGAUGGUAGAAUUCCAGGUGUAGCGGUGAAAUGCGUAGAGAUCUGGAGGAAUACCGAUGGCGAAGGCAGCCAUCUGGCCUAAUACUGACGCUGAGGUACGAAAGCAUGGGGAGCAAACAGGAUUAGAUACCCUGGUAGUCCAUGCCGUGAAAGGGUGUCUACUAGCCGUUGGGGGCCUUUGAGGCUUUAGUGGCGCAGCUAACGCGAUAAGUAGACCGCCUGGGGAGUACGGGUCGCAAGACUAAAACUCGAAUGAAUUGACGGGGG